CUUUGAUCAAAUUGCUUCAUUCUCUCCUAAGAGAGUUCCUCAAACAACAAUUUAUCACUUUGGUAAAAAUUAGCUUCCCCAUUUUCUGUUGGUUCUGAGGACAUGCCCUACUUCCUUAAAACUACCAUAAAUGGUGUAGAUGAAACCACUAAAAAAAAGAAGAGGAAGCUGCCGCCCUCUGAUGUAGAUUCUGAGCCAGUGUCAGCAACGGCUUUCUUCUUCCAUAAAAAACAAGAUUAAUGGUGUGGUGUUGUAUGCCUUAAAUCCCAGCACUCUGGAGAAAAAAGGGCAGACGGAUCUAAGUUCGAGACCAGCCUAGUUUACGUAAGCAGCUCCAGGACAGCCAGCUAGAAGACUCUGUCUCAAACAACAGAUUUCACUAUUGGGCAGUCAAGCUGAAAGCAGAAUGGAGCGGAGUGGAAACAAGAAAAGCAAGCAGCAGUCUUCUCCUGCACCGGUAUAGCAUCAGGAUAACCCCGCAGACCAGGAUGGUGGGGCCAACGCCUCUGGGUGUCCAGCCUCUUCCGUCCGCUUCUGCUCCAGGGCACAGCGCGUGGGGGCGGGGAGGAGAGGCGGAAGCCGACGGUGCCGGGCG
rnacentral:lncRNA from 1 species